AAUCAUGCUGACGUGGUAGACAAAUGAGAAUCAUUCUAAUUAUCUCUGGUGUUUCAAAGUGGAAAAUUAAAUUGCACUGGUAAAUAUUUCACUUCUGCACUUGCCUCUGGACCCUUUCGCCCGCUCUGUUUUAAAGAUAAACCUAUGCUUCAUAUUUUCAUUUCUCUCAUCGGGUGAUAUACUCAGUAUCUGUAACACAAAGAGGAUCUUUGGCAAACAUAAAUGGAACUCUUUGCCGGCUUAAUUAGUUCAGCAUAUUAGCCUGUAAUUCCAACAAUUAAUUCGAGUUCCAUCAUUAUUCAUGUUUAAAAUCUUUAUUCUUGGAUUUGACUGAAAGCGGUUUUGGAAACAAACGGCUGCUCCUUUUACGCUGCGAAUCAAUUUCAUAAUGGCUUCAAUUCACCGCCUCUUUAAUUCGAGGAUCUGAAAAUAUUGCCCAGAUGUCGAUGCAGAAAGCUCCGCAAUACACAGCGACGAAGGGAUUACUGUUAUCUUCCAAUAAAGAAACUGAGGCACAGAGCGGCUCAUUACCGGGAUUAUUCUGUAAGAUCGAUGCCUUCCAAAGCCUGGGUAAAUACUGAUGCCCAAAGAACAUGAAAGUGAGCCGGAGCUGUAGUGGAAAUUAAAAACCAGUCACAUACAAUUGAAUAAACCUGUGUGAAAUUACUCAUUUCCACAUCAGAAAAUUAAUUUAGCCAGAAAUAAUUCCAAGUUGCUGGAUAUCUGUAGGCGUGAGACAGAUCCUACGGAUGCCAUGAAUAGGAGGGGUGGCAAUAUUGUUUAAAAGUAUAUCAAAACAGAAUUUGAAAGAAUGAAAUAGUCUUUAAAAAAAAAACAAACACCUUCAGAGCUGUCGGUGUGAAGCUCACUUCUCAGUUUCAAUCCAAGCUCCACCACAGUCUGGGACAUGCAGUUAUUCAUUACAGGCCCAGAAGCUGUUUUCGCUCGCCGGUUGCUUGCUACACUCGGCUCACAGAACAGAGAAUGCCAGAGGAAUGAAAAAUGCUGCCUUUACUUUUCUUUGGUUCCCUGUAGGAUCCACCCUGUGCAUCAUCCAGGCGAUGCGCGGCAGAUAAAACGCCAUGCAUUUUGCAGUCCUUUCAACUUGUCCCCGCUGUACUCUCUCUUCCCUUGCCCUCUCCCACAGCUUAACAGACCCGGAAAUACUAUCAAUUCCUUUUACAGGUGUGGAGUGGAGACAUCUUUCAGCUACGAUGAAAAGAAUUUACAGGCAUUGACAUCUGUUUGAAGCUGCCAAGAGCAGUAAGCAGCCCUUCUGCAGGGCUGUGUGGGGAAAACCGGGGAGGCAGGCCUAGGGCCGCAGAGGGCCCUCCUGACCCGCUGGGUGUGAAAACACCCAGGUGCCUUUCCUCUCCUCCUCUAUGCUUUUGGAGGCGGUGAAGCAGAGAAGUAUUCCAUAGAAAUGUAAUUGAGCACAGCAUUGACACAAAUUUAUUCUAACGCAUCGAAAACUUCCGCCUGCAUUCAGUGCUGAGGACAAACCCACCUACUGUAAUAAGAAAAACAAGAAGCAUUUUACUUUGCUAUUAGCUUUAUAUAUUUUUUUUCUCUGUGUAAUUACUGGAGAAGUUUAAAUGUAAGCUUUCUUCCUUACGAGCAGAUUUUAAACAAAAAGUUUAAUUCCACGCUUAAAGGAAAAUGUUUUCUCUAAUAUUUCCUAUAAACCUGCGCUGAAUACUUAAUCCUGUGCUUCUGAGAGUAAAAGCUGCUGCUAUGGAUACAGUGAGGUCAACUUUUCAUCACUGUUUUACUGUGCAGGGUUGGAGGAGAUGUAUGAACCUCGGAAUUAGAACAAGGUGCAGAGUGGCAGCACCAAAGAAACACCUUGUCUGCACUGGAACGGUACUUCCAUUUUCACCUGACGCUCCUGCAGUGUUUUACAAAUACUCAUUAAGCUGCACAAAACUCCUGUGAUAAUCCUCAAGGUGACUCCAAAAAGAAAAGAAGAAAGGUUGUAUGCUUCCUACAGAGCAUGAGGAGCUUUUUGAAAGAGCUGCAAAUUUCUACUUGUUUCUUGCAAAGGAGAAAUGAGUAAUGUCAAUUUGUAUCUUUCCUGCCUUUUUAAGAACUCCAGCACUAGAAAUUCUUUUAAUUGAAAGGCUAUUGCUGAGGAAAAUCUCCUCCAAAUUGGCCGUUAGGCAGCUGAGUUAAAUAACCAUUCAAACUCAGUUUUAAAAUUGUCUCACAGAAACACCUUCCCUUUCCAUUACUCCAUUUUUCACUUUCUUUUUAUCACGUUAUCUCAAUCCUUCUAAUUCUUCUCCUAUCCACAACAGUACAGACAAGGAGAGACGAACUUAAAAAUAGCACAGAUUCUUGAAAGCCACACGCAGCUCAAAUAUGUUCAGGCAUUUCUCUUUUAUAGGAAUAAAAACAAA
ensembl:lncRNA